GUGGGGAAUCUUGCGCAAUGGGCGAAAGCCUGAUCCAGCCAUGCCGCGUGCAGGAUGAAGGCCUUCGGGUUGUAAACUGCUUUUGUACGGAACGAAAAGACUCCUUCUAAUAAAGUGGGUCCAUGACGGUACCGUAAGAAUAAGCACCGGCUAACUACGUGCCAGCAGCCGCGGUAAUACGUAGGGUGCAAGCGUUAAUCGGAAUUACUGGGCGUAAAGCGUGCGCAGGCGGUUAUAUAAGACAGAUGUGAAAUCCCCGGGCUCAACCUGGGAACUGCAUUUGUGACUGUAUAGCUAGAGUACGGUAGAGGGGGAUGGAAUUCCGCGUGUAGCAGUGAAAUGCGUAGAUAUGCGGAGGAACACCGAUGGCGAAGGCAAUCCCCUGGACCUGUACUGACGCUCAUGCACGAAAGCGUGGGGAGCAAACAGGAUUAGAUACCCUGGUAGUCC
rnacentral:rRNA from 1 species